UGGGCGCCAGGAGGAGGGUGUUGAGGAGGGUGUUGAGGAGGGUGAUGAGGAGGGUGUUGAGGAGGGUGUUGAGGAGGGUGAUGAGGAGGGUGUUGAGGAGGGUGAUGAGGAGGGUGUUGAGGAGGGUGUUGAGGAGGGUGUUGAGGAGGGUGUUGAGGAGGGUGAUGAGGAGGGUGUUGAGGAGGGUGUUGAGGAGGGUGUUGAGGAGGGUGUUGAGGAGGGUGAUGAGGAGGGUGAUGAGGAGGGUGUUGAGGAGGGUGUUGAGGAGGGUGUUGAGGAGGGUGAUGAGGAGGGUGAUGAGGAGGGUGUUGAGGAGGGUGUUGAGGAGGGUGUUGAGGAGGGUGUUGAGGAGGGUGUUGAGGAGGGUGUUGAGGAGGGUGCUGAGGAGGGUGUUGAGGAGGGUGUUGAGGAGGGUGUUGAGGAGGGUGUUGAGGAGGCUGUUGAGGAGGGUGUUGAGGAGGGUGUUGAGGAGGGUGAC
rnacentral:lncRNA from 1 species